AACGCUGGCGGCACGCCAAACACAUGCAAGUCGAACGCGUGUAGCAAUACACGAGUGGCGGACGGGUGAGUAACGCGUGGGAACCUGCCCAGUGGUAGGGAAUAACUGCGGGAAACUGCAGCUAAUACCCUAUGAGCCCUACGGGGGAAAGAUUUAUCGCCAUUGGAGGGGCCCGCGUCGGAUUAGCUAGUUGGUAGGGUAACGGCCUACCAAGGCAACGAUCCGUAGCUGGUCUGAGAGGAUGAUCAGCCACACUGGGACUGAGAUACGGCCCAGACUCCUACGGAAGGCAGCAGUGGGGAAUAUUGGACAAUGGGGGAAACCCUGAUCCAGCAAUGCCGCGUGAGUGAAGAAGGCCUUAGGGUUGUAAAGCUCUUUCGGCGGGGACGAUGAUGACGGUACCCGCAGAAGAAGCCCCGGCUAACUUCGUGCCAGCAGCCGCGGUAAUACGAAGGGGGCUAGCGUUGUUCGGAAUCACUGGGCGUAAAGGGCGCGUAGGCGGCUUGACAAGUCAGGUGUGAAAGCCCCGGGCUCAACCCGGGAAUUGCACUUGAUACUGUCUCGCUAGAGUCCGGGAGAGGAUGGCGGAAUUCCCAGUGUAGAGGUGAAAUUCGUAGAUAUUGGGAAGAACACCGGUGGCGAAUGCGGCCAUCUGGACCGGUACUGACGCUGAGGCGCGGAAGCGUGGGGAGCAAACAGGAUUAGAUACUCUGGUAGUCCACGCCGUAAACGAUGAGUGCUAGACGUCGGGGGGUUCACCCUCCGGUGUCGCAGCUAACGCUUUAAGCACUCCGCCUGGAGAGUACGGUCGCAAGAUGAAAACUCAUAUGAAUGGACUGCG
rnacentral:rRNA from 1 species